rnacentral:rRNA from 1 species
UACGUAGGGUGCAGGCGUUAAUCGGAAUUACUGGGCGUAAAGCGUGCGCAGGCGGUUUUGUAAGUCUGUCGUGAAAGCCCCGGGCUCAACCUGGGAAUUGCGAUGGAGACUGCAAGGCUUGAAUCUGGCAGAGGGGGGUAGAAUUCCACGUGUAGCAGUGAAAUGCGUAGAGAUGUGGAGGAACACCGAUGGCGAAGGCAGCCCCCUGGGUCAAGAUUGACGCUCAUGCACGAAAGCGUGGGGAGCGAACAGG